rnacentral:rRNA from 1 species
GACGAACGCUGGCGGCGUGCCUAAUACAUGCAAGUCGAGCGAACAGACGCGGCGCUUGCUCCUCUCACGUUAGGGGCGCAGGGGUGAGAAACACGUGGAAACCCUCCUUUUAUUUCUGGGAAAACUUCGGAAAACCGGCUCAAAUCCCGGAUAAUCUAUUGCUCCGCGUUGGUCAAUCGUAAAAUUCGGUUUUUGUGUUUCUUCUCGCUGGUUCCGCGCCGCAUUAGCUAGUUGUGACGGUAAAGGCCUACCAAGGCGACGCGGCGUAACCGACCUGAGAGGGGGAUCGGCCACACUGGAACUGAGACACGGUCCAGACUCCUACGGGAGGCAGCAGUAGGGAAUCUUCCGCAAUGGGCGAAAGUCUGACGGAGCAACGCCGCGUGAGUGAUGAAGGUGUUCGGAUCGUAAAACUCUGUUAUGAGGGAAGAACAAAUGUGGAAGUAACUAUGGACGUCUUGACGGUACCUGAUCAGAAAGCCACGGCUAACUACGUG